AACGAACGCUGGCGGCAGGCCUAACACAUGCAAGUCGAACGCCCUAGCAAUAGGGAGUGGCAGACGGGUGAGUAACACGUGGGAACCUUCCCUAUAGUACGGAAUAUACCAGGGAAACUUGGAGCAAUACCGUAUACGCCCGAGAGGGGAAAGAUUUAUCGCUAUAGGAUGGGCCCGCGUAGGAUUAGCUAGUUGGUGAGGUAAUGGCUCACCAAGGCGACGAUCCUUAGCUGGUUUGAGAGAACGACCAGCCACACUGGGACUGAGACACGGCCCAGACUCCUACGGGAGGCAGCAGUGGGGAAUAUUGGACAAUGGGCGGCAAGCCUGAUCCAGCCAUGCCGCGUGAGUGAUGAAGGCCUUAGGGUUGUAAAGCUCUUUUGCCGGGGACGAUAAUGACGGUACCCGGAGAAUAAGUCCCGGCUAACUUCGUGCCAGCCGCCGCCGU
rnacentral:rRNA from 1 species